rnacentral:tRNA from 1 species
CGCGGUGUGCGGCGAGGCGGUCACCGUCGUGCUGCCGUCGCGGAGGGAGGGGCACGCGCCGGAGAUCGCCGCGCUGCACCGCGA